UGUGACAGGGAAAGGAAAUGAACAGACCUGCAGAAAGCUCACGUUCAGAUGGUAUUGCAUCACUUGUGUCAAAAGGAGACAGACACCUCAGCUUUAAAUUCAAGACUAAUGCAGUUUUAUGGUAGACAUUUCAAGAACCAGACAAACUAUUGAUUUAUGGUAAUCAACCAUUGACUACUUCUAUAAUAUCAUCUGCAGAAAAGAACUUAUUAAACAAUUCAACUGAUGAAAUCAACAAAUGCGAGAGACAUGCAAGAGAAGCAGAGAUUUGGCUUCACUGACUGUGUUCAAGCAUAACUCUUAAGAGAAGAAAAUCCAACAACUGGGAAAUCGUUUUGCUUGAGAAAUUUCCAAAACACUGAAGUCACUGCAAUAACUGCUUGCAAGAACUGCCAUGAGGAGUGCCAUUCUGCAGAGGUGGAUUUCAAGAAGAUUAAACCCUAUUGACAACCAUCCUGCUUUUCAUCUGAAUUUGCACAAUAAUCCUCAUUCUUCAUAGGG